GAUGAAGAACUUAGUGAAAUGCGAUAAGUAAUGUGAAUUGCAGAAUUCAGUGAAUCAUCGAAUCUUUGAACGCACAUUGCGCCCGCCAGUAUUCUGGCGGGCAUGCCUGUUCGAGCGUCAUUUCAACCAUCAAGCCCCCGGCUUGUGUUGGGGACCUGCGGCUGCCGCAGGCCCUGAAAAGCAGUGGCGGGCUCGCUGUCACACCGAGCGUAGUAGCAUACAUCUCGCUCUGGGCGUGCUGCGGGUUCCGGCCGUUAAACCACCUUCAUAACCCAAGGUUGACCUCGGAUCAGGUAGGAAGACCCGCUGAACUUAAGCAUAUCAAUAAGCGGAGGA
rnacentral:misc_RNA from 1 species